UAGGCUAAAGUCCACGGGCUGUAGAAGCAAACCUUAAAGGGACAUCUGCCUUUCAUUGAGAGGGUGAUCUCGUUCUCCGGGCCAAAUCCCCUAAGGUGGUAGGAAGGCGGAUGAAAACGUCUAGUUGCAGGAAAACAGGCUGAGGGCUCCCACUGAUUCUACAUUAUCCAGGAAAUCGAGGCUGCAGUGAGCCACGAUCACACCAUGCCACGGCACUCCAGCCUGGGCAACAGGAUGAGACCUUGUCUCACACACACACACAAAAAGAAAGGGCUGGAAUCUGAGUAGCUGAGGUGCUUAUGUGACUACAUGCCUACAUCACUGACCCCCAAUAAACACCUUGGACACAAGACUCAGAUAAAGAAACCUCAGAUCAAAUAUAAGCAUCAAAAUCUACAAAGAUUUUAGAGGGUGAAGAAACACGGAAAGAUCUCUGGUGAUGGAGCCAGCAUUGAUGAACCAAGAAAAGUCUUAAACGUGAAGAAGCCUGUGAUAAACAAGGUGACUCACCUCAUCAAAUGGAAUAGGGAUCUUCUGGCAAAGCUGCCUGGGUAAACCGCAACUCACAAGGGAUAGAAUUUCACUAAAUUCUUAAGAGGUUACAGACUCUAUUUCUAUCCUUAAAUACACUCAUUAUUUUAUCCCUGGAUAUACCCAAUUAUAGUUUAAACUUAAAUUGAAUAAAAGAUGAUGGGAGGACUGUGCCCAGGGGAAUAACAAGGAAGAAAAAUGUCAGAAGAAUUAGUUUCU
rnacentral:lncRNA from 1 species